UACGUAGGGGGCUAGCGUUGUCCGGAAUCAUUGGGCGUAAAGAGCGUGUAGGCGGCCCGGUAAGUCCGCUGUGAAAGUCGGGGGCUCAACCCUCGAAUGCCGGUGGAUACUGUCGGGCUAGAGUCCGGGAGAGGUGAGUGGAACUGCGAGUGUAGAGGUGAAAUUCGUAGAUAUUCGCAAGAACACCGGUGGCGAAGGCGGCCAACUGGACCAUUACUGACGCUGAGGCGCGAAAGCGUGGGGAGCAAACAGG
rnacentral:rRNA from 1 species